UCCCGCCUCGCGAAAAGUCGCUGUUUGUGGCGGCCUGUCCUGGCUCUCGCCGGAUGGACUAGCGAGGCGGGUUGGU
rnacentral:sRNA from 12 species